rnacentral:rRNA from 1 species
GACGAACGCUGGCGGCGUGCUUAACACAUGCAAGUCGAACGAUGACGACCGAGCUUGCUCGGUCUGAUUAGUGGCGAACGGGUGAGUAACACGUGAGCAACCUGCCCUUCACUCUGGGAUAACCUCGGGAAAUCGGGGCUAAUACCGGAUAUGAGCUCCUGUCGCAUGGCGGGUGUUGGAAAGUUUUUCGGUGAAGGAUGGGCUCGCGGCCUAUCAGUUUGUUGGUGAGGUAGUGGCUCACCAAGGCGAUGACGGGUAGCCGGCCUGAGAGGGCGACCGGCCACACUGGGACUGCGACACGGCCCAGACUGCUACGGGAGGCAGCAGUGGGGAAUAUUGCACAAUGGGCGAACGCCUGAUGCAGCGUCGCCGCGUGAGGGAUGACGGCCUUCGGGUUGUAAACCUCUUUCAGCAGGGAAGAAGCGAAAGUGACGGUACCUUCAGAAGAAGCGCCGGCUAACUACGUG